rnacentral:rRNA from 1 species
GAUGAACGCUGGCGGCGUGCCUAAUACAUGCAAGUCGAGCGAACAGACGAGGAGCUUGCUCCUCUGACGUUAGCGGCGGACGGGUGAGUAACACGUGGAUAACCUACCUAUAAGACUGGGAUAACUUCGGGAAACCGGAGCUAAUACCGGAUAAUAUAUUGAACCGCAUGGUUCAAUAGCGAAAGACGGUUUUGCUGUCACUUAUAGAUGGAUCCGCGCCGCAUUAGCUAGUUGGUAAGGUAACGGCUUACCAAGGCAACGAUGCGUAGCCGACCUGAGAGGGUGAUCGGCCACACUGGAACUGAGACACGGUCCAGACUCCUACGGGAGGCAGCAGUAGGGAAUCUUCCGCAAUGGGCGAAAGCUUGACGGAGCAACGCCGCGUGAGUGAUGAAGGUCUUCGGAUCGUAAAACGCUGUUAUUAGGGAAGAACAAAUGUGUAAGUAACUAUGCACGUCUUGACGGUACCGAAUCAGAAAGCCACGGCUAACUACGU